rnacentral:rRNA from 1 species
AUACGUAGGGGGCGAGCGUUGUCCGGAAUGAUUGGGCGUAAAGGGCGCGUAGGCGGCCCGGUAAGUCUGGAGUGAAAGUCCUGUUUUUAAGAUGGGAAUUGCUUUGGAUACUGUCGGGCUUGCGUGCAGGAGAGGUAAGUGGAAUUCCCAGUGUAGCGGUGAAAUGCGUAGAGAUUGGGAGGAACACCAGUGGCGAAGGCGACUUACUGGACUGUAACUGACGCUGAGGCGCGAAAGUGUGGGGAGCAAACAGGAUUAGAUACCCUGGUAGUCCACACUGUAAACGAUGAAUGCUAGGUGUAGGGGGUAUCGACCCCUUCUGUGCCGCAGUCAACACAAUAAGCAUUCCGCCUGGGGAGUACGGCCGCAAGGUUGAAACUUAAAGGAAUUGACGGGG